rnacentral:rRNA from 1 species
UGCAGUCGACGCUUCCCGAUAGCUUGCCCUGCUCCGACGAGUGACAGAAGGUGAAUAAAGAUGGAAAACUGCCUGAACCAGGGCGAUAAAUACUGAAAAACUAGGAAAUACCGCAUAACACCGCAUAACCAAAGAGGCCGACCGUCUUCCCUCUUGCCAUCACAUGUGCCCAGAUGGUAUUUGGUCCCACGUGGCAUAACGGCUCACCUAGGCUAACAUCCCUACCUGGUCUCAAAGGAUGACCAGCCACACUGGAACUGAGACACGGUCCAGACUCCUAACACGAGGCCAAACUCCUGCAAUAUUGCACAAUGGGCGAAAGCCUGAUGCGGAAUGCCGCGUGUAUGAAGAAGGCCUUCUGAUUGUAAAAUGCUUUCAGAUCGGAGGAAGGCGAUGCUGUUAAAAACCGUGUCGAUUGACGUUACUCGAUCAAUAAGCACCGGCUAACUCCAUGCCAGCAGCUAACUACAUACGGACGGUGCAAGCGUUAAUCAGAAUUACUGCGCGUAAAGCGCACGCUGGCGGUCUGUCAAGUCGGAUGUGAAAUCCCCGGGCUCAACCUGGGAACUGCAUUCGAAACUGGCAGGCUUGAGUCUUGUAGAGGGGGGUAGAAUUCCAGGUGUAGCGGUGAAAUGCGUAGAGAUCUGGAGGAAUACCGGUGGCGAAGGCGGCCCCCUGGACAAAGACUGACGCUCAGGUGCGAAAGCGUGGGGAGCAAACAGGAUUAGAUACCCUGGUAGUCCACGCCGUAAACGAUGUCGACUUGGAGGUUGUGCCCUUGAGGCGUGGCUUCCGGAGCUAACGCGUUAAGUCGACCGCCUGGGGAGUACGGCCGCAAGGUUAAAACUCAAAUGAAUUGACGGGGGCCCGCACAAGCGGUGGAGCAUGUGGUUUAAUUCGAUGCAACGCGAAGAACCUUACCUACUCUUGACAUCCAGAGAACUUAGCAGAGAUGCUUUGGUGCCUUCGGGAACUCUGAGACAGGUGCUGCAUGGCUGUCGUCAGCUCGUGUUGUGAAAUGUUGGGUUAAGUCCCGCAACGAGCGCAACCCUUAUCCUUUGUUGCCAGCGGUUCGGCCGGGAACUCAAAGGAGACUGCCAGUGAUAAACUGGAGGAAGGUGGGGAUGACGUCAAGUCAUCAUGGCCCUUACGAGUAGGGCUACACACGUGCUACAAUGGCAUAUACAAAGAGAAGCGACCUCGCGAGAGCAAGCGGACCUCAUAAAGUAUGUCGUAGUCCGGAUUGGAGUCUGCAACUCGACUCCAUGAAGUCGGAAUCGCUAGUAAUCGUGGAUCAGAAUGCCACGGUGAAUACGUUCCCGGGCCUUGUACACACCGCCCGUCACACCAUGGGAGUGGGUUGCAAAAGAAGUA